UACGUAGGGCGCAAGCGUUAUCCGGAAUUAUUGGGCGUGAAGAGCUCGUAGGCGGUUUGUCGCGUCUGCCGUGAAAGUCCGGGGCUCAACUCCGGUUCUGCUUCCGGUACGGGCAUGCUGGAGUGUGGCAGGGGAGACUGGAAUUCCUGGUGUAGCGGUGGAAUGCGCAGAUAUCAGGAGGAACACCGGUGGCGAAGGCGGGUCUCUGGGCCAUUACUGACGCUAAGGCGCGAAAGCGUGGGGAGCGAACAGG
rnacentral:rRNA from 1 species